UCUUUUUUAUGUUUUCAAGUUCAUUCAAAACCUCCGACACAAUUCCCCCAUCGAGCGGCGUUAAGACCAUCUUGCACCUCCGCCUCUCAAAGCACGAUCGGGUCCCCCGGGAGAGGGUCAGAAGUGCCCGGUCUCGGGCCCCGCCCUCUGGGGUGAGGACCGGCUUCCACCGCUGUCCCUUCUGAGCCCUGGCGACCUCACGGGGGAGGAUGCCACGUGAAAGACACCGUGCCUGCUCGCAGGUGCCCCCCGCUCAGGGACGGGCAGAGCACCCAAGCUGGAAAACGUUAGCUGGCCGCCCAGCCAGGGUGAGAAGCAGACGAUACCCCCUCUGGUUUUGGUAGGAGGGCAAACAGACACCCUGGGUGAAGCCGCAUCACCUCUGCCAGGAAGCCUCUGUGUGUCCCCUAAGACAGGGUCUGGCCCCCCAACUCCGGAAGCAUUUCCCCUGCAGGCUGGUGGUUUCAACCUGGCAUCAUCUGAGGAAGUUGUUUUAAGUACAGGUGCCCAGGCCCUCUGCCCUGGUCAGCAGAAUCAGCAUCUCGGGGGCUGGGGGCCCCCCCUCCGUAUUCUCAGCCGCUCCCAGGCACGUCUUCUGCGCAGCCAGGACCGAGCGCGCCCGCGCUCACUGGCUCGCACGGUCCCCAGUCUGCCCCCGCCCUGUGUCUCCUCGCCCCCACGCCCCCCAGGCCGGCCGCCCCCGUGGACGCCCCGAGUGUGAUUUUCUGCUCGUGCACCUGCUCAUCUGGACUGCGAGCUUCCGGAGCUCAGUGUGCCUUAGGUCCCCACCAUGUACAAAGUCUCAUUAAAUACGUGCAUAACUGAACCAGACAGCCAGCUGGAGUUAGAAGCACGGGGCACCAGGCCCUGCUUCUCUCGACGUUGCCCGUCACGCCCGGCCGGGUCCUCCCCUCUGCUCUCGUCUGAGCACAGCUGUCGCCGCUGCACACCCCACCCCCCACCGCCCCUGCAGGGCCAGACCCGCCUGCCUCGCUCGGGGGCAAGCGCUCCGGCCCAGGCCUCUGGGGCUCCGUGCUAGUGCCUGGGAGCUCGCCAGGUCGACCUUGGGCGUCCGCCGUGACCUUGGCCGUCAGGUUGCCCUUGAGCACGUAGGUCUCCUCGUGUCUUUUGUUUCUGAGCCUUUUCUCCCGGGCCUGUGCCCCAACCAACGGUGAGUUGGUUUCUUGCUUGCUUGUGACAUCUAGUCCCCUUGUCGGGGGCCCUGAUGUCUUCUUCUGACUAUUCCAGGGCUCCCCACUCACAUGUAGGUCCAGCUUCUAGAACCCUCCCUGCUGUUAUCAGAGUUUCCCACACCGGCCAGAGCUGCUUGCACAGGCCUUCGAGCUUCCCCUGUUCCCAAAUUCCUUUGAGCUUUGCUCUACAUAGCAAGACCCUCUUGACUUCCUCUUGACUGAGUGCAUUUUGGCCUGGGAUGACCUUGACCGUGUAGACUCUGGCCUCCUGGCCUGGGUUUCCCCCCGUUUCCCACCAUGGCAGCCGUGUCUGUGCUCCCCUCCCCCGCACCCCUCAAGCCCACACUUAAUUCUUAAGUAUCCCGUGCUUAAAUAUCCUGUUCUUAAGCUGAACGUGUUUGGUGAUGGACGUGAAGACGGAUGGAUAAAUGGCAGCUGGAUGGAUGACUGCAGCGAUAGAUGAUAGAUAGAUAGAUAGAUAGAUAGAUAGAUAGAUAGAUACCAAUAGAUAAAUCAGCUGAACUGCCUUGAUCCUAGGAGCCCAACACACCUAGCAGAGAUCACUGGAUCAAUUCAAAGCUUACGGCUGUGUCCACACCCACGGUCUACAGAAGACGGCCCCCGUCCUCCGGCCAAUCAAACCUAGAGCGCUCGGGCCCCCAUCUUCCAGGGGAGCCAAGGGGACAGUCCACGGACAAACUGAACCGACCCCUGGUCACACCCAGCGCUUCCCUUACAGGUCAAGGUCACUUUCCUCACCCGUAAAACGGGGCGACGUUCGCUGUACCUACCCGCGUCCGUGUCCCAAGGCCGCUGUAACAAACUACCACUAACUGGGAGGCUUACGGCGACAGAAAUUUCUUCUCUCACGGUUCUAGAAGCCAGAAGUCUGACAUCUUGUUUUGCUGAGCUAAAAAUCAAGGUGUCAGCACGCUGGCUUCCUCUGGUGGCUCCAGGGGGACUCCACUUCCUCCCCUCCUCCAGUUUCUGACAGCUGCUGCCUUUUCUCGACUCACAGCCCCGGGGCUCAGCCUCUGCCUCUGGGCCCACACGGCUUCUACUUCUCUGCGUGGAUUCUCCCCCUCCCCCAUCUCCGAGAACACUCGCGAUCGCGUUCGGGGCCUACCUAGACCCCCCAACACACUCUCCGCGCCCCCAAAAUUGGAACUCGGUCGCAUCUGCAAGGUCGUCUUGGGGCCGGAGAAGGCGGGGUUCGCAGGCGCCACGCUUUAGGACACGGACUAUCUUUGGGGGGGGGGGCGUUACCCAGCUGACCACGUCGCCCCGUAAGGGUGGCUUCAGGCACUGCCACGGCCCUACCAACAUCGGCCGUCUCAACACCACCACGGAUCCAGCUCAGUUCUGGAGCCGACGUGAACGUGGGAGCAAACGGAAACUUCUGGGCGUCCUGUGAGUCCAGAAAAUAGAAACGGCGCUCACUCGCUUGUUUGGGAAACCGGAGCCUCUGCCGUUGUUCUGGCUGAGGCCGUCCACUUUUCUGUGGCCACAGACCCUCGCGCCCCUUCCCUGAAAAGGGUCGGUCAACACGGCUCACUGAGAGACCCGACCUGGAGGAAUGAUUGCCUCCGCACCGGAGCACAGACAAAGCAGAAAGCUCCCCGCUGCGGUGUCACUAGAAGUCAAGGGAGUCUGAACCCGCAAACGCUGAGAAGGGAGAGCGGAAGCCACCUUCCAAGAAGCUGGCGGAUGCCAGAGCUACAUCGUCUCGUGCCAAGUCCCGGGAGCCCCGGGAGCCUGCCCCGGACGAGACCCUAGACCUGCACAUUAGCAUGCCAUCUGGUUUCUGCCCCGUGGACGACCGAAAACAAAACAAAACAAAACCAAACCAAACCCCAAACCGAGACAUGUAAGAGGGAGUACAGAAAAGGGUGAGUUCGACCUCGGGGAGGGAAGACUGCCUGUGUUUUUCAGUGCAUUUGGGGCCAUAAAAGAAUCAGCCCCAUUAACCCCUCAGAGGCUGGAGUAAAUUCACUUUCUUUUCAGAUCCUGGCGAAUCCCCGUGAUGGAUACGUGACCGGGAAAUGUUGGUAGGGGCUGGGUACUGAAAUUUCUAUCACGUUUUUCUUUUGUGCGAUAAUUGCAGCAGGAUGGUGAAGGACGGGGCUCACCCUCAGCAGACACUGCGAGCGUAUUUGUGUGUGUUCCAUCAACACGCCCACAGCUCACUUCCAACCGAUCAACACAUAAUAUCAACAGAGAGAUAGAAGGCAAAUAUGGCAGAAUGGUAACAGCUGUUGAACGGGGGUCAUGGGUAAACACUGGCGUCCAUCAUUCUCAACUGCUCUGUGUGUUUGACAAGUUUUCAUAAUAAAAAGCUGGCGGGUUGGGGGAGACAGGAGAGAUGACCAAGGGAAGCCGAGUCCUCCCGAUGGUCUUUCCAAGACUCCACUUGAUGGGUGGAAGGAAAACCUUCAGGGAGCUUGAGCCAAAAUGCUGAGGGGCGGUGGGGAACUGCUGUGAGUCGCUCCGUGUCUGGGAACAGCCCAGUAAAUCCGAUGUCGGCCAAGGGGCGCGUUAAAGGUUGGUCACCGUAGGGGUUUGCGGGUGGGAGCAGACUUCUGAGUCGGCUGUACGUGGGACGGCUGUUCUGACACAGAAGAAUCCGGAGGCCCCGAUUUCCAGAGGGAAGGACCCCACAAGGCUCACACAAUCACGGUCUUUCGGCUGUGACGAACACUCCCCUCAGCCUCCCUUCCGCCCCCUCUGAUUAGUCUCCACCAAUGGUGCAAUCGUGUCCCUCCAGAGCGAUUGGCCCAACAAUGGGCACGUGACCCAGCUCCGGUCAAUGACUUGUAAGACGUCAGCCAGGGUGCUUCUGGGGAGAGGCUCCUCACUCCCAGGAGAGUGCCCCGGAAGAGGUGGUCUCUUCUUGGUCUGGAUCCUGUCACCCGAAUGUGAUGUCCGGAGCGACUGCCGCCAUCUUGUGACCAAAGACAAAGCCAGUGUCAAAGUUGGCAGAUGGGAAGGACCUGGGUCCUUGGGGGCAUCUGUGAGCCGUGGGAGCAGCUGGCCCUGAAGGCCACCCAUAACUCCCCACUAAGGAAAUAACAGAUGUCCUUAUUCUGUAAGUCUGGUGGACUCCACUUCUAGUAGUUCUGGUACAAGACCAGGAAGCAGUACCGUGCCGACCCACAUCAGGCCUUUGAGUUAGGAAAGGUAUCUCUUCCUCCAGGAAGACACCCAGCUUGGGGAACAGGAUGCAGCUGGCUUUCGACCCCAACUUGCCCCCGAUUCCAGGAACCUCCGCCCAUGAGCGACCCACACGGUGGUCACAGAGGACAUCUGGCGAAAACCCCGGGGUCCCACCUGCCAGGCUGGAACAGAGACAUUUGCUCCCUCCAUUCCUGGAUGAUCCUGGCCUUUGAGAAGUUCAGGAUGGUGCCAAGGGGUGGGGCAGCCGUCACCCUCCAACUCAACCCGCCCUUCGUGCGUACUCAGUUUUGAACAAUUCGCGUUUCCUUGACUGUUACCCAAAGAGCUGUUUAAGCACCCCCCACCACUUCCUUUCCAACCAGAGUGGCCCGUGAGCACCCCUCCUGGAAAUCCCGGAAAUGUGGCUGUGGAGGGAGCUCCUCCUUCCGUCCGCCCCGCACCCAACCCGGUGGGGCUGCGGGGACCGUCACGGUGGCCAGCUCACAGUCUCUGAGACCCUGCCUGCUCUUGGCUCAGCUGAGGACUCAGAGGCGGGCGGAUACAAGCUUCCCGCGAAACACCCUCAGGAGCCAGAUGUUUCCAGAGUGCAUCCAAACCUCUGCCCGCUGGCCUCCCCCAGGGCUUGGGCUCGCUGACCUGGGAAGCGAGGGGGCGUCGGUGGGGCCCCGGGGGACGGGGGGCAGGAUGGAGUUCAAGGGCCGGGAGAGUAUUUUGGUCUUGACCCCUGGGGCUCCGUGCGAGAGGUGGCCGGGCCCUCGACUUCUGUUUCCCGUUCUAAAAGGAGACCGCGUCAGCUUCCCCUUCUGACUCGGGCUGAAUCCCACUGCUGGCGCACGGUGAAGUGCGCGGACCCUGCCCGGGCUUCCGCGAGACCCAGACGGGCACACUGGCUGGCCUUCUCCCAGCUCCAGGAGCCCAGGACACCCCACAGAGGCAGCUCGGGCUGGUGGUCGGAGGUGGGGAGUUUGGAGUCCAUGGGAUCCAAGUUCAAGUAUCAGCAGUGCCUGCUCCUGGACGUGUGACUUCACCUCUCUGGUCCUGCUGGCUGUCUAGGAAAGGGGGAUGUAACGCACCCCCUGGGCCUGGCGUAAGCGUCCGGAGACGGGUCUGGUUACCGAGUCGAAAGCCGCAUCAUCUCCAGAGUACCUUUUCCCAAAUUCGACAGGCUGAGAAUCUUCCGCUACCAGGGAGGUCGACUGGGGUAGUCGACUGGGAGGUCGACUCACGUUUGUAUCCUCACCGCGAGCCCCUCUCGUGCCGGACGUCAGCUAGACGCUCCGAGUACAUUAUUCUAAUCCUGACACCAAGCCCUGGGGGGGAAGCCAUUUUGUUCCCAUUGUGCAGACAGGGAAACUGAGGCUCGGGGAGGAGAAAGGACUUCGAGAGGGCCACACCAGUGAGUGCCAGAGAUGGGCUUGAGCCCACGAUGAUCAGGCUCCAGACGCAGCCGUUCCCAGAAGGUGCCUUCCGUCGGGCCCUGCACGGCUCUUUGUAAACGACCAGGCUUCGCCCUCGGCCGUCAAACUUGGGAGCGAACAAAUCACACAAUGUUGGCGAUUUGAGGACGGCCAGAGCCACGGGGCAGAGAAACCCAUCCAGCAUCCCUCUUCCGUGCACAUCCACCGUGCACCUGUCCCGUGCCGGCCUGGUGCUGGGUGUGGAGUUCAAGACAAAACAGGACCUACCCGGCCUGGCCCCGAGAAGCUCUGCCCGGCAGGCGGCAUCGCAAGCCACGGACGAGUGCAAAACGGCGCGGCGAGAGCCCAAGCGAGGGCCAAGGACUUUCCGAUGAAACCCAGAAGGUUCCACUCAGGUCUCGCUUUCCGCGUACAUCUUCCUUGCGUUUUCUCCGCUUGAGGCCGUGCACACGUCGGAGCCCCACUCAGUGGAGGCUGGAGAGCUGUUUCUCCCACUUCUGCGUUGCCCGUCGUGUACAACACAUGCUAUGAAGGUAGCACCGGUGACGGUUUUCUUAAGUGGCCCACGAAGCGGUGAGUGGGCAAGUGGGUGAGGGAGUGAACGAGCGUAGCACUUAGGCGUAGAGACUGUUAUUUUCUAUGUGACCCGCGCGGGCGUAGAGCCCGUGGUGGUGCCUUACUGAGGACGACCUUCGUUCGCACAGGACACGUGAGCUUCUCGGUCGCUACUCACAACUUAGGACCCAGCGCGUGGUCCGCGAAUCCGCGUGUGCAACUCGGGAGCUGGGCUCUACCAUUGCUGAUCCCGAGACGUAAAAUCAGUUCUUCCCCCCGCCCCCCUAGCCUCUGCGUCCCGAUCUUUGGUAUCCCACAGAGAAAUCUGAGCGCCCUCCCCGCUCCUCAGAGGUUUGUUUACAAGGCCGGCGACGUUCUGGAAGGCACCGCGCCGGCCCACGAGGGGUGACGACGAGCCUCGCGUUCCGCGGACCUCACGUUGGCGGCUUGGAUCGGCCACACUGGGAGUGGUUACCCCACGGAAAUUGGCAUAUGUGGGGUUUGUUGUUGUUGCUGGUUCUGGAAAAGAGUUAAAUUUCUAGCAGGACCUUUCUGGGGUACCACUUGAAACGGUCCAAAUCUCUUUGAAGUAUCUGGUGUUCUCUUUAAGAUCCCUCUGUGUUUUGCAAUUACCCAGAAAACAUCAUCUUUUCUGUUAAUAAAACAUUUAACGGCU